GGCAGCGUGGCCGAGUGGUCUAAGGCGCUGGUUUUAGGCACCAGUCAGAAAUGGCGCGGGUUCGAAUCCCGCCGCUGUCA
rfam:Hymenolepis nana genome assembly, scaffold: HNAJ_contig0008072